rnacentral:rRNA from 1 species
ACCCGCUGAACUUAAGCAUAUCAAUAAGCGGAGGAAAAGAAACCAACAGGGAUUGCCUUAGUAACGGCGAGUGAAGCGGCAACAGCUCAAAUUUGAAAUCUGGCUCUUUCAGGGUCCGAGUUGUAAUUUGUAGAAGAUGCUUUGGGUGUAGCUCCGGUCUAAGUUCCUUGGAACAGGACGUCAUAGAGGGUGAGAAUCCCGUACGUGACUGGGUGCUUUCGCUCGUGUAAAGCUCUUUCGACGAGUCGAGUUGUUUGGGAAUGCAGCUCAAAAUGGGUGGUAAAUUUCAUCUAAAGCUAAAUAUUGGCCAGAGACCGAUAGCGCACAAGUAGAGUGAUCGAAAGAUGAAAAGCACUUUGGAAAGAGAGUUAAACAGUACGUGAAAUUGUUGAAAGGGAAGCGCUUGCAACCAGACUUGCGCGCUGUUGAUCAUCCGAGCUUCUGCCCGGUGCACUCAGCAGCGUUCAGGCCAGCAUCGGUUUUGGUGGGCGGAUAAAGGCCUUGGGAAUGUAGCUUCUUUCGGGGAGUGUUAUAGCCCUCGGUGCAAUGCGCCCUACCGGGACCGAGGACCGCGCUUCGGCUAGGAUGCUGGCGUAAUGGUUGUAAGCGACCCGUCUUGAAACACGGACCAAGGAGUCUAACAUCUAUGCGAGUGUUUGGGUGUCAAACCCAUACGCGUAAUGAAAGUGAACGGAGGUGAGAACCCUUAAGGGUGCAUCAUCGACCGAUCCUGAUGUCUUCGGAUGGAUUUGAGUAAGAGCAUAGCUGUUGGGACCCGAAAGAUGGUGAACUAUGCCUGAAUAGGGUGAAGCCAGAGGAAACUCUGGUGGAGGCUCGCAGCGGUUCUGACGUGCAAAUCGAUCGUCAAA